UACAGAGGGUGCAAGCGUUGUUCGGAAUUACUGGGCGUAAAGCGCGUGUAGGCGGUUUGAUAAGUCAGACGUGAAAUCCCUCAGCUUAACUGAGGAAUUGCAUCUGAUACUGUCAGACUUGAGUAUCGGAGGGGAUGGUGGAAUUCCUGGUGUAGAGGUGAAAUUCGUAGAUAUCAGGAGGAACACCUGUGGCGAAGGCGGGUCUCUGGGCCGAUACUGACGCUGAGGAGCGAAAGCGUGGGGAGCGAACAGG
rnacentral:rRNA from 1 species